rnacentral:tRNA from 1 species
GGGGAUUUAGCUCAGUGGUAGAGCACCUGCUUAGCAUGCAUGAGGUCCUGGGGUUUAAUCCCCU